AACGAACGCUGGCGGCAUGCCUAACACAUGCAAGUCGAACGAAGCCUUCGGGCUUAGUGGCGCACGGGUGCGUAACGCGUGGGAAUCUGCCCUUUGGUUCGGAAUAACGGUUGGAAACGACUGCUAAUACCGGAUGAUGACGAAAGUCCCAAUAUUUAUCGCCAGAGGAUGAGCCCGGGUAGGAUUAGCUAGUUGGUGUGGUAAAGGCGCACCAAGGCGACGAUCCUUACCUGGUCUUAGAGGAUGAUCAGCCACACUGGGACUGAGACACGGCCCAGACUCCUACGGGAGGCAGCAGUGGGGAAUAUUGGACAAUGGGCGAAAGCCUGAUCCAGCAAUGCCGCGUGAGUGAUGAAGGCCCUAGGGUUGUAAAGCUCUUUUACCCGGGAUGAUAAUGACAGUACCGGGAGAAUAAGCCCCGGCUAACUCCGUGCCAGCCGCCGCCGUAA
rnacentral:rRNA from 1 species